UACGUAGGGUGCGAGCGUUGUCCGGAAUUACUGGGCGUAAAGAGCUCGUAGGCGGCUUGUCACGUCGGGUGUGAAAGCCCGGGGCUUAACCCCGGGUCUGCAUUCGAUACGGGCUAGCUAGAGUGUGGUAGGGGAGAUCGGAAUUCCUGGUGUAGCGGUGAAAUGCGCAGAUAUCAGGAGGAACACCGGUGGCGAAGGCGGAUCUCUGGGCCAUUACUGACGCUGAGGAGCGAAAGCGUGGGGAGCGAACAGG
rnacentral:rRNA from 1 species